AACGAACGCUGGCGGCGCGCCUAAUACAUGCAAGUCGAGCGAGAAGGUGUAGCAAUACACUUGUAAAGCGGCGAACGGGUGAGGAAUGCAUGGGUAACCUACCCUCGAGUGGGGAAUAACUAGCCGAAAGGUUAGCUAAUACCGCAUACGUUUCCGGAACUUCGGUUUCGGAAAGAAAGCAAUACCGUGGGUAUUGCGCUCCUGGAUGGGCUCAUGUCCUAUCAGCUUGUUGGUGAGGUAACGGCUCACCAAGGCUUCGACGGGUAGCUGGUCUGAGAGGACGAUCAGCCACACUGGCACUGCGACACGGGCCAGACUCCUACGGGAGCAGCAGUAAGGAAUAUUGCGCAAUGGACGAAAGUCUGACGCGGCGACGCCGCGUGGGGAUGAAGGUCUUCGGAUUGUAAACCCCUUUCGGGAGGGAAGAUGGAGUGGGUAACCACUUGGACGGUACCUCCAGAAGCAGCCACGGCUAACUUCGUAGCCAGCAGCCGCGGUAAU
rnacentral:rRNA from 1 species